rnacentral:rRNA from 1 species
UACGAGGGGGCAAGCGUUGUUCGGAAUUAUUGGGCGUAAAGGGCGCGUAGGCGGUCUGUCGCGUCGAAUGUGAAACCCGGGGCUCAACUCCGGGCUUGCAUUCGAUACGGGCAGGCUAGGAGUUCGGUAGGGGAGUCUGGAAUUCCUGGAUGUAGCGGUGAAAUGCGCAGAUAUCAGGAGGAACACCGGUGGCGAAGGCGGGUCUCUGGGCCGAUACUGACACUGAGGAGCGAAAGCGUGGGGAGCAAACAGG